rnacentral:rRNA from 1 species
ACGGCCGCAUGACUGUCCGAGUGAAGAUUUAUCGGUAUGAGAUGGCGAUGCGUCCCAUUAGCUAGUUGGUGAGGUAAUGGCUCACCAAGGCAUCGAUGGGUAGGGGUUCUGAGAGGAAGGUCCCCCACAUUGGAACUGAGACACGGUCCAAACUCCUACGGGAGGCAGCAGUGAGGAAUAUUGGUCAAUGGACGAAAGUCUGAACCAGCCAAGUAGCGUGCAGGAUGACGGCCCUCUGGGUUGUAAACUGCUUUUAGUUGGGAAUAAAAAGAGGGACGUGUCCCUUAUUGUAUGUACCAUCAGAAAAAGGACCGGCUAAUUCCGUGCCAGCAGCCGCGGUAAUACGGAAGGUCCAGGCGUUAUCCGGAUUUAUUGGGUUUAAAGGGAGCGCAGGCGGCGGCGUAAGUCAGUUGUGAAAUCGUGCGGCUUAACCGUGCAAUUGCAGUUGAUACUGCGUCGCUUGAGUGCACACAGGGAUGUUGGAAUUCAUGGUGUAGCGGUGAAAUGCUUAGAUAUCAUGAAGAACUCCGAUCGCGAAGGCAUAUGUCCGGAGUGCAACUGACGCUGAGGCUCGAAAGUGUGGGUAUCAAACAGGAUUAGAUACCCUGGUAGUCCACACAGUAAACGAUGAAUACUCGCGGUUGGUUCGUUAGAAUCAGCCGCCAAGCGAAAGCGUUAAGUAUUCCACCUGGGGAGUAC